CGAAUGAGGAGAUUCAUCGCCAGCUUAUUCAGUAUUAAUGCAGGCUAUGAUGUGAUAAUAGAACCCUUGUGGUCACUAGAUUAUACUUGCUUGUAUUAUUUUUGCUGGGUAUGUCGGCGUGCACUUCUCCUCUAGUAGAACGUCGCAACCCGUUGGAUGUUUAUCUAUGGCUUGAAUGGUAGCCUUUGAUAUUUUUUAUAUUGAAGACCUUCGAUGCCCUGAUAAACUGUUUGACGGUAUACAUAUGGUAUUGAGCCGCAAUUAUUUGCGUUAGACUUGCCGCAAGUAUGACUUUAUUCUAGUAGUGCGGAUCUAAUGCCGUCGCUGGACAAAGUCUGCUGUUAGCUGUGUAA
rnacentral:rRNA from 1 species